rnacentral:snRNA from 1 species
UGGAAAUUCACUCUUUUAGUAUUUGUCCAGUAGGUUUCCUUUAAAAAGAAGCCCAG